UACGAAGGGGGCUAGCGUUGUUCGGAAUCACUGGGCGUAAAGGGUGCGCAGGCGGAUUUUUAAGUCAGGGGUGAAAUCCCGGGGCUCAACCUAGGAACUGCCUUUGAUACUGGGAAUCUUGAGUCCGGAAGAGGUGAGUGGAACUGCUAGUGUAGAGGUGAAAUUCGUAGAUAUUAGCAAGAACACCGGUGGCGAAGGCGGCUCACUGGUCCGGAACUGACGCUGAGGCACGAAAGCGUGGGGAGCAAACAGG
rnacentral:rRNA from 1 species